AACGAACGCUGGCGGCAGGCUUAACACAUGCAAGUCGAGCGCCCCGCAAGGGGAGCGGCAGACGGGUGAGUAACGCGUGGGAAUCUACCCAUCUCUACGGAAUAACGCAUGGAAACGUGUGCUAAUACCGUAUACGUCCUUCGGGAGAAAGAUUUAUCGGAGAUGGAUGAGCCCGCGUUGGAUUAGCUAGUUGGUGGGGUAAAGGCCUACCAAGGCGACGAUCCAUAGCUGGUCUGAGAGGAUGAUCAGCCACACUGGGACUGAGACACGGCCCAGACUCCUACGGGAGGCAGCAGUGGGGAAUAUUGGACAAUGGGCGCAAGCCUGAUCCAGCCAUGCCGCAUGAGUGAUGAAGGCCCUAGGGUUGUAAAGCUCUUUCACCGGUGAAGAUAAUGACGGAAACCGGAGAAGAAGCCCCGGCUAACUUCGUGCCAGCAGCCGCCGUAACAC
rnacentral:rRNA from 1 species